rnacentral:sRNA from 1 species
GUAGAUGCUCAUUCCACUCCUUAUGACAGCAUAUGACUUCAUAAACCUAGGAAUGAUGCAGAGCCGAUUAUUCGGUGCCUACGUCCACGUUAACGAUGAACAUCAUUCAUCAUCAACAGGACGAAACGUUGAGUGAGGCACCAUCCGUCUGUAGACCUGAUUG